AUUGAACGCUGGCGGUAUGCUUAACACAUGCAAGUCGAACGGUAGCAGGUCUAGCUUGCUAGAUGCUGACGAGUGGCGGACGGGUGAGUAACGCGUAGGAAUCUGCCUUAUUGAGGGGGAUAACCUGGGGAAACUCAGGCUAAUACCGCAUAAGCCCCAAGGGGGAAAGGAUGGGAUCGAAAGACCAUACGCGAUAAGAUGAGCCUGCGUCGGAUUAGCUAGGUGGUGGGGUAAAGGCCUACCAAGGCGGGGAUCCGUAGCUGGUCUGAGAGGACGACCAGCCACACGGGGACUGAGACACGGCCCAGACUCCUACGGGAGGCAGCAGUGGGGAAUAUUGGACAAUGGGGGCAACCCUGAUCCAGCAAUACCGCGUGUGUGAAGAAGGCCUGCGGGUUGUAAAGCACUUUCAGUGGGGAGGAGAGACUUAUCGUUAAUAGCGGUGAGUUGAGACGUUACCCACAGAAGAAGCACCGGCUAACUCUGUGCCAGCAGCCGCGGUAA
rnacentral:rRNA from 1 species